CACGUAGGGGGCGAGCGUUGUCCGGAUUUAUUGGGCGUAAAGAGCUCGUAGGCGGUUCGGUAAGUCGGGUGUGAAACCUCCAGGCUCAACCUGGAGUCGCCACUCGAUACUGCUGUGACUAGAGUCCGGUAGGGGAGCGUGGAAUUCCUGGUGUAGCGGUGAAAUGCGCAGAUAUCAGGAGGAACACCAGCGGCGAAGGCGGCGCUCUGGGCCGGAACUGACGCUGAGGAGCGAAAGCGUGGGGAGCAAACAGG
rnacentral:rRNA from 1 species